rnacentral:rRNA from 1 species
GGACCAUCCUCCAAGGCUAAAUACUCCUGACUGACCGAUAGUGAACCAGUACCGUGAGGGAAAGGCGAAAAGAACCCCGGCGAGGGGAGUGAAAAAGAACCUGAAACCGUGUACGUACAAGCAGUGGGAGCACCUUCGGGUGUGACUGCGUACCUUUUGUAUAAUGGGUCAGCGACUUAUAUUCUGUAGCAAGGUUAACCGUAUAGGGGAGCCGCAGGGAAACCGAGUCUUAACUGGGCGUUAAGUUGCAGGGUAUAGACCCGAAACCCGGUGAUCUAGCCAUGGGCAGGUUGAAGGUUGGGUAACACUAACUGGAGGACCGAACCGACUAAUGUUGAAAAAUUAGCGGAUGACUUGUGGCUGGGGGUGAAAGGCCAAUCAAACCGGGAGAUAGCUGGUUCUCCCCGAAAGCUAUUUAGGUAGCGCCUCGUGAACUCAUCUUCGGGGGUAGAGCACUGUUUCGGCUAGGGGGUCAUCCCGACUUACCAACCCGAUGCAAACUACGAAUACCGAAGAAUGUUAUCACGGGAGACACACGGCGGGUGCUAACGUCCGUCGUGAAGAGGGAAACAACCCAGACCGCCAGCUAAGGUCCCAAAGUCAUGGUUAAGUGGGAAACGAUGUGGGAAGGCACAGACAGCCAGGAUGUUGGCUUAGAAGCAGCCAUCAUUUAAAGAAAGCGUAAUAGCUCACUGGUCGAGUCGGCCUGCGCGGAAGAUGUAACGGGGCUAAACCAUGCACCGAAGCUGCGGCAGCGACACUAUGUGUUGUUGGGUAGGGGAGCGUUCUGUAAGCCUGCGAAGGUGUGCUGUGAGGCAUGCUGGAGGUAUCAGAAGUGCGAAUGCUGACAUAAGUAACGAUAAAGCGGGUGAAAAGCCCGCUCGCCGGAAGACCAAGGGUUCCUGUCCAACGUUAAUCGGGGCAGGGUGAGUCGACCCCUAAGGCGAGGCCGAAAGGCGUAGUCGAUGGGAAACAGGUUAAUAUUCCUGUACUUGGUGUUACUGCGAAGGGGGGACGGAGAAGGCUAUGUUAGCCGGGCGACGGUUGUCCCGGUUUAAGCAUGUAGGCUGAUUGUCCAGGCAAAUCCGGAUAAUCAAGGCUGAGGUGUGAUGACGAGGCACUACGGUGCUGAAGUAACAAAUGCCCUGCUUCCAGGAAAAGCCUCUAAGCAUCAGGUAACAUCAAAUCGUACCCCAAACCGACACAGGUGGUCAGGUAGAGAAUACCAAGGCGCUUGAGAGAACUCGGGUGAAGGAACUAGGCAAAAUGGUGCCGUAACUUCGGGAGAAGGCACGCUGGUGUGUAGGUGAAGUCCCUGCGGAUGGAGCUGAGACCAGUCGAAGAUACCAGCUGGCUGCAACUGUUUAUUAAAAACACAGCACUGUGCAAACACGAAAGUGGACGUAUACGGUGUGACGCCUGCCCGGUGCCGGAAGGUUAAUUGAUGGGGUUAUCCGUAAGGAGAAGCUCUUGAUCGAAGCCCCGGUAAACGGCGGCCGUAACUAUAACGGUCCUAAGGUAGCGAAAUUCCUUGUCGGGUAAGUUCCGACCUGCACGAAUGGCGUAAUGAUGGCCAGGCUGUCUCCACCCGAGACUCAGUGAAAUUGAACUCGCUGUGAAGAUGCAGUGUACCCGCGGCAAGACGGAAAGACCCCGUGAACCUUUACUAUAGCUUGACACUGAACAUUGAGCCUUGAUGUGUAGGAUAGGUGGGAGGCUUUGAAGCGUGGACGCCAGUCUGCGUGGAGCCAACCUUGAAAUACCACCCUUUAAUGUUUGAUGUUCUAACGUUGGCCCCUGACCGGGGUUGCGGACAGUGUCUGGUGGGUAGUUUGACUGGGGCGGUCUCCUCCCAAAGCGUAACGGAGGAGCACGAAGGUUAGCUAAUCCUGGUCGGACAUCAGGAGGUUAGUGCAAUGGCAUAAGCUAGCUUGACUGCGAGCGUGACGGCGCGAGCAGGUGCGAAAGCAGGUCAUAGUGAUCCGGUGGUUCUGAAUGGAAGGGCCAUCGCUCAACGGAUAAAAGGUACUCCGGGGAUAACAGGCUGAUACCGCCCAAGAGUUCAUAUCGACGGCGGUGUUUGGCACCUCGAUGUCGGCUCAUCACAUCCUGGGGCUGAAGUAGGUCCCAAGGGUAUGGCUGUUCGCCAUUUAAAGUGGUACGCGAGCUGGGUUUAGAACGUCGUGAGACAGUUCGGUCCCUAUCUGCCGUGGGCGCUGGAGAAUUGAGGGGGGCUGCUCCUAGUACGAGAGGACCGGAGUGGACGCAUCACUGGUGUUCGGGUUGUCAUGCCAAUGGCACUGCCCGGUAGCUAAAUGCGGAAGAGAUAAGUGCUGAAAGCAUCUAAGCACGAAACUUGCCCCGAGAUGAGUUCUCCCUGAGACUAUAAGUCUCCUGAAGGAACGUUAAAGACGAUGACGUUGAUAGGCCGGGUGUGUAAGCGCAGCGAUGCGUUGAGCUAACCGGUACUAAUGAACCGUGAGGCUUAACCUU